rnacentral:rRNA from 1 species
AAAGCCCGGUACAAGCGAGGUACCAGUAUGGUAAGAAAAACCGCCAUGCAAUGGGAAGACGUGAUGUGGAGUGAAAUAUAGUAACGAAGCCCGUGAGCCGUGCGUCAAGAAAAGCCGCUAUUGUUUAUAUUGUACCCGUACCGUAAACCGACACAGGUGGAUGAGGAGAGAAUCCUAAGGCCGGCGGAAGAAGUAUUGCCAAGGAACUCGGCAAAAUGGCCCCGUAACUUAGGGAGAAGGGGUGCCUGCGAGAGCAGGCCGCAGAGAAUAGGCUCAAGCAACUGUUUAGCAAAAACACAGGUCUAUGCGAAACCGAAAGGUGAGGUAUAUGGGCUGACGCCUGCCCGGUGCUGGAAGGUUAAGAGGAGAGGUUAGACGCAAGUCGAAGCUUUGAAAUUAAGCCCCAGUAAACGGCGGCCGUAACUAUAACGGUCCUAAGGUAGCGAAAUUCCUUGUCGGGUAAGUUCCGACCCGCACGAAAGGCGUAAUGAUUUGAGCGCUGUCUCGGCAGUACAUCCGGUGAAAUUGAAGUGCCAGUGAAGAUGCUGGCUACCCGCGCCAGGACGGAAAGACCCCGUGGAGCUUUACUCCAGUUUGGCACUGGGGUCCGGUGUUGCAUGUACAGGAUAGGUGGGAGGCUGAGAGAUAGUGACGUCAGUUGCUAUGGAGCCGCUGUUGGGAUACCACCCUUGUGAUAUUGGGCUUCUAACCAGCCGCCGUAAUCCGGCGGUGGGACAAUGCCAGGCGGGGAGUUUGACUGGGGCGGUCGCCUCCGAAAGGGUAUCGGAGGCGCCCAAAGGUUCCCUCAGAAUGGACGGAAACCAUUCGAAGAGUGCAAAGGCAGAAGGGAGCUUGACUGCGACACCGACGGGUGGAGCAGGUACGAAAGUAGGGCUUAGUGAUCCGGUGGUAUUAAGUGGGAAUACCAUCGCUCAACGGAUAAAAGCUACCCUGGGAUAACAGGCUUAUCACUCCCAAGAGUUCACAUCGACGGAGUGGUUUGGCACCUCGAUGUCGGCUCAUCGCAUCCUGGGGCUGUAGUAGGUCCCAAGGGUUGGGCUGUUCGCCCAUUAAAGCGGUACGCGAGCUGGGUUCAGAACGUCGUGAGACAGUUCGGUCCCUAUCCGGCGUGGGCGUAGGAUAUCUGAGAGGAGCUGUCCUUAGUACGAGAGGACCGGGAUGGACGGACCGCUGGUGGACCGGUUGGCUUGCCAAAGCCAUGGCCGGGUAGCCAAGUCCGGAAGGGAUAAACGCUGAAGGCAUCUAAGCGUGAAGCCCCCCUCAAGAUGAGAUAUCCCAUUCUUUAAGAAGUAAACCCCCUUGAAGACGACGAGGUAGAUAGGGCAGAGGUGGAAGUGUGGUAACACAUGGAGCUGACUGUUACUAAUCGGGUGAGGGCUUGAUC